UAGAUAAAUAGAAAGAUGAUAUGUAGAUAAUAGACAGACAGAUGAUACAUGGAUGACACGAUAGAUGUAAAAAAGUGAGAGAAAGAAACCCUCUAAAAGACAGUGAAGUGAAAACUUAAGGGUCCUUUGGAAAGUCAGUUGUGUUGGAUGGUGUUUUCUUGGGGCAAACACAUGAAGGAGUGUUUGCUGCAGUUUCUUAAUGUUUGCUUCUGUGGACUUGGCUAAUUGGCAGAGUGAUGUCAGUGAGACAAGAUGCACGUGCUGAGGAAAGACCCAUGGAGGAUAUGUGAUGUUUAAAGAGAGUAUAAAUAAAGCUUGAUGGACAGUGAUGGAAGCAGAGCGUGGCUGGCUUAUAGAACUAGCUGUGCGAUGCUUGUUGGUCUUAUCUUCACUGAUCUCUUUGUUGAGAGAGACUCAACCGAGAAUUUCUCCUGGCAUUCCUCUGGGUCCCUCCUGCUGCUUGUGCCAAGGCUGAGGCCUGGCUGUCUCUGCUAGGUAGUGAUUUAUGCUGAUUUAUGUUGCUAUCCUGACUGUACUGAACUGGACUGCUAGUGUCUCCAUACAGUGUUUGCAAGUGGAUCGAGCUGUUGCUGCUGACUCCUGUGAACUACUGACCUGCCACUUUCCAGACAACACAGACAGGAAUUGCUCCAAAGAACCAUUUCUAAACAGAAAUGGAGAACAUUCCAGAAGGGGAGAAAGCCAGAACAAGAAACCACAUGCAACAAGAUGUCAAGACUGUGCUGGAGGCCUAAAUGCACAUAUCUAAGCCAUCAGAACAACACGUGUGACACUGAGUGCACCCCUCACACCAG
rnacentral:lncRNA from 1 species